rnacentral:rRNA from 1 species
CAGCCGCCGCGGUAAUACCGGCGGCCCGAGUGGUGGCCGCUAUUAUUGGGCCUAAAGCGUCCGUAGCCGGGCCCGUAAGUCCCUGGCGAAAUCCCACGGCUCAACCGUGGGGCUUGCUGGGGAUACUGCGGGCCUUGGGACCGGGAGAGGCGGGGGGGACCCCUGGGGGAGGGGUGGAAUCCUAUAAUCCCCGGGGGACCGCCAGUGGCGAAGGCGCCCCGCUGGAACGGGUCCGACGGUGAGGGACGAAGGCCAGGGGAGCAAACCGGAUUAGAUACCCGGGUAGUCCUGGCGGUAAACGAUGCGGACUUUGUGUCGGACAAGCUAUGAGCUUGUCCGGUGCCGGAGGGAAACCGUUAAGUCCGCCGCCUGGGGAGUACGGCCGCAAGGCUGAAACUUAAAGGAAUUGGCGGG